rnacentral:misc_RNA from 1 species
GAUGAAGAACGUAGUGAACUGCGAUAAGUAAUGUGAAUUGCAGAAUUCAGUGAAUCAUCGAGUCUUUGAACGCACAUUGCGCCCCCUGGCAUUCCGGGGGGCAUGCCUGUCCGAGCGUCAUUGCUGCCCUCAAGCACGGCUUGUGUGUUGGGCCUCCGUCCUCCUCCCGGGGGACGGGCCCGAAAGGCAGCGGCGGCACCGCGUCCGGUCCUCGAGCGUAUGGGGCUUCGUCACCCGCUCUUGUAGGCCCGGCCGGCGCUUGCCGACACAUCAAUCUUUUUUCCAGGUUGACCUCGGAUCAGGUAGGGAUACCCGCUGAACUUAAGCAUAUCAAUAAGCGGAGGA